GACGAACGCUGGCGGCGUGCUUAACACAUGCAAGUCGAACGCUGAAGCACCAGCUUGCUGGUGUGGAUGAGUGGCGAACGUGUGAGUAAUAAGUGAGUAACCUGCCCUUGACUCUGGGAUAAGCCCGGGAAACUGGGUCUAAUACUGGAUGCUACAUGUCACCGCAUGGUGGUGUGUGGAAAGGGUUUACUGGUCUUGGAUGGGCUCACGGCCUAUCAGCAUGUUGGUGAGGUAAUGGCUCACCAAGGCGACGACUGGUAGCCGUCCUAAGAGGGGGACCGACCACGCUGGGACUGAGACACGUCCCAUCCUCCUACGGGAGGCAGCGUUGGGGAAUAUUGCACAAUGGGCGAAAGAUCGAUGCAGCGACGCCGCGUGAGGGAGGACGGCCUUCGGGUUGUAAACCUCUUGCAGCAGGAAAGAAGCCACAAGUGACGGUACCUGCAGAAGAAGCGCCGGCUAGCUCCGUGCCAGCAGCCGCCGUAA
rnacentral:rRNA from 1 species